CCAUAUCUAGGAAAUAAAAUUAAAAAUGCUAAACCCACCAUCGGAGGAGAGAAAUAGCAUACUUUGGCAAUGUAAGGAAAACAGCCGAGCAUGUGUUGAAAACAGCUCUCGUGAGAGGUACAUUCCCAUUUGUUAGUAACAGCGUAUCAGACGGAACCAGAGAUUAGGCAAAGCCACGCACGCUAACUACACCCGCACCCAGGAUGAGGGGGAUGAUGGGGCGGGGCUGCCGAGUCCACACAUACAGUUUGCGUUGGCUCUAGUGGGACAAAAUCAGCGCUAAGAAAUAGCUGAAAUGAAGAGCGAGCGAUAUCUUGAGACCUGGCGAUAAGGGGCGUUAUAAAAAACACACAUACUACAUUUCAGAAUAGCCACCUCUUUGACGUGCCAUCAAAACAACAAUGGAAAUGUGGGUAACCUGACCUGCUUGGGAGAAGAGUGUGGAAUAUGAGUGAAUGCUCAAAAACAUCACCUGAAAGGGGAUUUCCUGGGAUUUGAGAAAUUAUAAGCCAUUGCACACUGAGCGGAUGUUUUCAGAGAGCUAUCCAUGAUGACUGCA